UACGUAGGGUGCGAGCGUUAAUCGGAAUUACUGGGCGUAAAGUGUGCGCAGGCGGCUUCGCAAGUCGAGUGUGAAAUCCCCGAGCUUAACUUGGGAAUUGCGCUCGAAACUACGGAGCUGGAGUGUGGCAGAGGAAGGUGGAAUUCCACGUGUAGCGGUGAAAUGCGUAGAUAUCUGGAGGAACACCGGUGGCGAAGGCGGCGUCCUGGACCAACACUGACACUGAGGAGCGAAAGCCAGGGGAGCAAACGGG
rnacentral:rRNA from 1 species